UAGCGGAUGCUAUUUAUGUGCUGUUUAGAGAAAGAAAAUAACUUUAAUAUGCCGCACAAAGAAUUGGGUGACUCAAUUCUAUAACAACAACAUCAUUUGGACGUACAUAGCUUUUUGAAACUCCCGCCAUGAAAAUCCUCUCCAGGGAUUUGGCUUAGAGAAGAAACAGGAAGUGACGUUUAUCCCCCCCCAGACGGCUUACCGCUGGCGGGAAAGUAGCAAUUUUUUUUCACGUGUGAGCAAAAAAUGUCGGCUCGUUUUAUUGCUGGAUAUUGUUCGAACACUCGGGAAGAUGGAUUUACUCUUCAUAGGUUCGGAAAAGACCCGGUUCGUCGUGGAAAAUGGGUUGCACGGGUGCAAAGGACGAGAGCUUCGUGGGUUCCAAAUCACAGACCCAAGCGUGGACGCUUCCCACCCAAUCCAUCAGGCUCCCCCUGUACCGCGCGCGGCCGACCGGCUGAACGAGAAGCAGGAGCCGGAACCUUCGCAGCAGGCCGCAGAAGACCGCCGCCGCCGCCACCACCAGCGGCGACAUCAUCACAAAGCCCAGGAUGAUGAGGGCCGAGCAGCUGUUGUCGUCAAGAAACGGUAACUUUCGUCAUGGACUCACCCUGGAAUGGCACAAGA